GAUGAACGCUAGCGAUAGGCCUAACACAUGCAAGUCGAGGGGCAUCACAUGAGGCAGCAAUGCCGAUGGUGGCGACCGGCGCACGGGUGAGUAACACGUAUGCAACCUGCCUUCAACAAGGGGAUAACCCGUUGAAAAACGGACUAAUACCCUAUAAUACAGGGGUCCCGCAUGGGGAUAUUUGUUAAAGAUUGAUCGGUUGAAGAUGGGCAUGCGUUCCAUUAGCUGGUUGGUGAGGUAACGGCUCACCAAGGCAACGAUGGAUAGGGGAACUGAGAGGUUUAUCCCCCACACUGGUACUGAGACACGGACCAGACUCCUACGGGAGGCAGCAGUGAGGAAUAUUGGUCAAUGGACGCAAGUCUGAACCAGCCACGUCGCGUGAAGGAAGACGGCCCUACGGGUUGUAAACUUCUUUUGUAAGGGAAUAAAGUGUAGUACGC
rnacentral:rRNA from 1 species